AUUGAACGCUGGCGGCAGGCCUAACACAUGCAAGUCGGGCGGAGCGGCGGACGGGGGAGAUAUGUAUGGGGAUCUGCCUGAUGGAGGGGGAUAACUACUGGAAACGGUAGCUAAUACCGUAUACCCUCAGAUGCACCUAGGUCGGAUUAGCUUGUGGGUGGGGUAACGGCCCACCAAGGCGACGAUCCGUAACUGGUCUGAGAGGAUGAUCAGCAACACUGGAACUGAGACACGGUCCAGACUCCUACGGGAGGCAGCAGUGGGGAAUAUUGGACAAUGGGCGAAAGCCUGAUCCAGCCAUGCCGCGUGUGUGAAGAAGGUCUUCGGAUUGUAAAACACUUUAAGUUGGGAGGCGUUACCAACAGAAUAAGCACCGGCUAACUUCGUGCCAGCAGCCGCGGUAAUUC
rnacentral:rRNA from 1 species